rnacentral:lncRNA from 1 species
UAAAUUCAUAUAUUACAUCAUUUUGAAAAACAAAAAUUUAAAAUUUUUAAAAAAUUCCAUUGCCUUCUUCUGUAAAUAUAACAAUACAUUAUGAAUUAGACUGAAAUACUAUUAAUAGCAAAACACUAUUUUUGCUAUCAAAUUUUUAAUACUUGGAUGAGAAAUUAUAGGAUUAGAAUGAUAUUAGUCAGUUAGAGUUGAGUGGUCCUUCUAGGGUUGAGUGAUCUCCAGUGGUUUAUAGUAUUUAAUCUAAUGAUUAGAAAUGAUGAAAAGAGUUAAUCCAAAAGUUAAAAACUUGAUAGUAAAAAUGACGUUUUUGCUACCAAUAGUAUUCUAGCCCACCUCAUACAUUAUUACUAUUGCAGGAUCUGGCAAUAUUCUUAGCAAAAAAGCAAAACCAAGUCCCCUCUCUCUCUCUCUCUCUCUCUCUCUCUCUCUCUCUCUCUCUAUAGCUAAUUAAACUCCUCCAUUAUAUUACUUAAUUGUGUUUCUCCUACUAUUCUUCUCUUUUCUCUCUUCUUCAAUCAA